rnacentral:rRNA from 1 species
AGUGAACGCUGGCGGCGUGCUUAACACAUGCAAGUCGAACGGAUUUAAUAAGCUUGCUUAUUAAGUUAGUGGCGCACGGGUGAGUAAUGUAUAGCUAACCUGCCCUUUAGUGGGGGACAACAGUUGGAAACGACUGCUAAUACCCCAUAUUCCUUCGUAUCAUAAGGUACGUUGGGAAAGAUUUAUUGCUAAAGGAUGGGGCUUUAUUGUAUCAGCUAGUUGGUGGGGUAAUGGCCUACCAAGGCGAUGACGCAUACCUGGUCUGAGAGGAUGAUCAGGCACACUGGAACUGAGACACGGUCCAGACUCCUACGGGAGGCAGCAGUGGGGAAUAUUGCACAAUGGGGGAAACCCUGAUGCAGCAACGCCGCGUGGAGGAUGACGCAUUUCGGUGUGUAAACUCCUUUUAUAAGGGAAGAUAAUGACGGUACCUUAUGAAUAAGCACCGGCUAACUCCGUG